AUUGAACGCUGGCGGCAGGCCUAACACAUGCAAGUCGAACGAGUGGCGGACGGGUGAGUAAUGUCUGGGAAACUGCCUGAUGGAGGGGGAUAACUACUGGAAACGUUAGCUAAUACCGCAUACCAUCGGAUGAACCCAGAUAGGCUUGGCUAGUAGGUGGGGGAACGGCUCACCUAGGCGACAAUCCCUAGCUGGUCUGAGAGGAUGACCAGCAACACUGGAACUGAGACACGGUCCAGACUCCUACGGGAGUCAGCAGUGGGUACUAUUGCACAAUGGGCGCAAGCCUGAUGCAGCCAUGCCGCGUGUAUGACGAAGGCCUUCGGGUUGUAAAGUAAUUUCAGCGGGGAGGCGUUACCUGCACAAGAAGCACCGGCUAACUCCGUGCCAGCAGCCGCGGUAAUAC
rnacentral:rRNA from 1 species